GACUGAGUCCCGAAUCGACUUGAGAGGAGCGAGUUCCGCCCCCUCGGCUUGGCUGAGAGGGGUCGGCACUGGUUACCUUGCGAGUGGAAGGACUAGAACACCGAAACAACUCUCAGCAACGGAUAUCUUGGCUCUUGCAACGAUGAAGAACGCAGCGAAAUGCGAUACGUAGUGUGAAUUGCAGAAUUCCGCGAAUCAUCGAGUCUUUGAACGCAAGUUGCGCCCGAGGCUUGUCCAAGGGCAUUUCCGCUANAGNGUCCCAGGCCCCCCCCNNNCACCGAUCGNUCCCNCCGGGAGUCGGGUCGAGUGAAAGUGGCCAUCCCCGUGGGGGCCUCCUCCCGCGAGGAAGGAAGGUCUUCCCGAGGGUUGGCUGAAAUGGAUGGAAUCGGGCCGCCGUGGCGACACAGUCCGCGAUCGGGUGAUCCGGGCUCCUCCGGGAGUUCGGAGUUUUUCUAAGUGCGUGGCUGCGUCUCCCAGUCGGUUGGGUUCCCUCGUGCAGGUCAGACCUCGUCACGCACAGACCUCUAU
rnacentral:rRNA from 1 species